rnacentral:rRNA from 1 species
UACGUAGGGUGCGAGCGUUGUCCGGAUUCAUUGGGCGUAAAGAGCUCGUAGGCGGCUGUUCAAGUCGAACGUGAAAACUCGGAGCUCAACUCCGAGCCUGCGUUCGAUACUGGAUGGCUAGAGUCUGGUAGGGGGACCUGGAAUUCCUGGUGUAGCGGUGGAAUGCGCAGAUAUCAGGAAGAACACCAAUGGCGAAAGCAGCUCUCUGGGACGGUACUGACGCUGAGACGCGAAAGCGUGGGGAGCGAACAGG